UACGUAGGGUGCGAGCGUUGUCCGGAAUUAUUGGGCGUAAAGAGCUCGUAGGCGGUCUGUCGCGUCUGCUGUGAAAACCCGAGGCUCAACCUCGGGCCUGCAGUGGGUACGGGCAGACUAGAGUGCGGUAGGGGAGAAUGGAAUUCCUGGUGUAGCGGUGGAAUGCGCAGAUAUCAGGAGGAACACCGAUGGCGAAGGCAGUUCUCUGGGCCUUACCUGACGCUGAGGAGCGAAAGCGUGGGGAGCGAACAGG
rnacentral:rRNA from 1 species